AUUGAACGCUGGCGGCAGGCCUAACACAUGCAAGUCGAACGGUAACAGGAAGAAGCUUGCUUCUUUGCUGACGAGUGGCGGACGGGUGAGUAAUGUCUGGGAAACUGCCUGAUGGAGGGGGAUAACUACUGGAAACGGUAGCUAAUACCGCAUAACGUCGCAAGACCAAAGAGGGGGACCUUCGGGCCUCUUGCCAUCGGAUGUGCCCAGAUGGGAUUAGCUAGUAGGUGGGGUAACGGCUCACCUAGGCGACGAUCCCUAGCUGGUGUGAGAGGAUGACCAGCCACCCUGGAACUGAGACACGGUCCAGACUCCUACGGGAGGCAGCAGUGGGGAAUAUUGCGCAAUGGGCGCAAGCCUGAUGCAGCCAUGCCGCGUGUAUGAAGAAGGCCUUCGGGUUGUAAAGUACUUUCAGCGGGGAGGAAGGGAGUAAAGUUAAUACCUUUGCUCAUUGACGUUACCCGCAGAAGAAGCACCGGCUAACUCCGUG
rnacentral:rRNA from 1 species